GAACGACUCUCGGCAACGGAUAUCUCGGCUCUCGCAUCGAUGAAGAACGUAGCGAAAUGCGAUACUUGGUGUGAAUUGCAGAAUCCCGUGAACCAUCGAGUUUUUGAACGCAAGUUGCGCCCCAAGCCUUCGGGCCGAGGGCACGCUUGCCUGGGCGUCAC
rnacentral:rRNA from 7 species